rnacentral:rRNA from 1 species
GGGUUGUGAGGUUAAGCGACUAAGCGUACACGGUGGAUGCCCUGGCAGUCAGAGGCGAUGAAGGGCGUGCUAAUCUGCGAUAAGCGCCGGUAAGGUGAUAUGAACCGUUAUAACCGGCGAUACCCGAAUGGGGAAACCCAGUGUGACUCGUCACACUAUCAUUAACUGAAUCCAUAGGUUAAUGAGGCGAACCGGGGGAACUGAAACAUCUAAGUACCCCGAGGAAAAGAAAUCAACCGAGAUUCCCCCAGUAGCGGCGAGCGAACGGGGAGGAGCCCAGAGCCUGAAUCAGCAUGUGUGUUAGUGGAAGCGUCUGGAAAGGCGCGCGAUACAGGGUGACAGCCCCGUACACAAAAGCGCAUGUGCUGUGAGCUCGAUGAGUAGGGCGGGACACGUGGUAUCCUGUCUGAAUAUGGGGGGACCAUCCUCCAAGGCUAAAUACUCCUGACUGACCGAUAGUGAACCAGUACCGUGAGGGAAAGGCGAAAAGAACCCCGGCGAGGGGAGUGAAAAAGAACCUGAAACCGUGUACGUACAAGCAGUGGGAGCCCCACCACCAAAGCAUUUGCUGUACCGCGUUGACGGAGCGAAGCGACGUCAAACCGAUAAAACAGC